AUCAGACUUUUAAUUUGAUUUUACUGAUCAUGUAUAUAUAGGAUUAAAGCCAUUUGUGACACUCUUUCAUGGGGAUGUUCCCCAAGCUUUAGAAGAUGAAUAUGGUGGUUUCUUAAGCCCUCGUAUUGUCGAUCAUUUUAAAGACUAUGCGGAACUUUGUUAUAAGGAAUUUGGUGAUCGAGUCAAGCACUGGUUCACGGAAAAUGAGCCAUAUACUUUUAGUUACAUGGGUUAUGCUGUUGGGACUCAAGUACCGGGACGCUGCUCUUCUUGGCAAAACCUAAACUGCAUCGGUGGAGAUUCAGCCAUUGAACCAUACUUGGUGGCACACCACCUUCUUCUUGCUCAUGGAGCAGCUGUAGAAUUGUACAAGAAUAAAUAUCAGGCAACUCAAAAAGGC